UUGGGGUCGCGCGGCGUAGCUGCGCGCUGCGGUUCCCACGGCAACCGGGCGCUGCGAGGCGCCGAGCACCUGGGCGCACGCGCGGCUGCAUUGCUGGGCUGAGGCGCUGGUCGCGAGCCCCCGCGCCCGGAGAGAUUAACAGAAGUUCCAGGUGGUUGGAGACAAGUGUAAUAGGAUGUCAACAGGCAUGUUCCCUGGGCCCUGGCUAAGUUCCAAAGCUGUGCACAGAAGGUGGGUGACAGUUGCUCAGUGGAAGAACAAGGAUUCAGUCCCAGGUGUGUCCAACUUCUCAACCACAUCUUAAAUCACUCUGCCUACAUCAUCCAUCUUUUUCGCUUUAUCAUGUUUAUUGUGAGAACCACCG